UUUUUUUUUUUUUUUUUUUUUUUUUUUUUGGUAGUAGUUCACAUUUUCAAAAUAUUUUGAAGGGUUCCUCAAAAAGUUAAGCAUAAAAUUGCCAUAGGACCCAGCAGUUCCACCCUGGAUAUGUGUGAAGGAAUUGAAAACAGGCAGUUCCUGCUGUGGCUCAGUGGUAAUGAAUCCAACCAAUAUCCAUGAGUAUGUAGGUUCGAUCCCUGGCCUCACCCAAUGGGUUAAGGAUCUGGUGUUGCCGUGAGCUGUGGUUGCAGACGAGGCUCAGAUCUUGCAUUGCAUAGGUCGGCAGCUAUAGCUCCCAUUCAACCCCUAGCCUGGAUUUGGGCCAUUUUAAUAGGUGGGUAAAGGAAUCUCAUUGUUUUAAUUUGCAUUUUUCAGAUGACAAGUGAUAUGGCAAAAUUUGUGUUUUUUAAAGAGUGUUUAAAAGAGUGUGGGUUUAAAGAGUGCAUCCCUGAAAAGCGAAAAAAAAAAGAAAAAAAAGAAUUUGAAACAGACAUACAUGGUCUUUAGGCAGAUGUCCAUACCAUAGCAGCACUGUUGACAGUACCCAAAUGGAAACAACCCACAUGUCCAUCAGCAGGUGUAUGGAUAAACAAAAUGUGGACUAUGCAUACAAUGGACUAUUAUGCAGCCAUGAAAAGAAUAGAGUAUAAAUAUAUACUGCAACAUGGCUAAACAAAAUAUUAUGUGACAGGCUAGGGGUUGAGUCGGAGGUAUAGCCGCCAGCCUGUGCCACAGCCACAGCAACGCGGGAUGNGUGCCACAGCAACUCGGGAUGCGAGCCACAUCUGCGACCUACACCACAGCUCAUGGCAAUGCCAGAUCCUUAACCCACUGAGCAAGGCCAGAGGUCGAACCUGCAACCUCAUGGUUCCUAAUCGGAUUCGUUUCCGCUGCGCCACGACGGGAACUCCGGAGGUGCUUUCUUUUGUUGCUUAUAACAAGGUCUGAGUAAUAGACAUUGUGACCUUCUAUGACUCACUGAAUUUCUUAGGCUCAUUUUUUCUCACGUGUGCAGGAGGUACCAGUGGCCUCACAGUUACCUGGAUGUUCAAAUGAAUAGUGUGGGCAAAUGCGACGGGCACUGAAACAGGGGUGAUGGGGAGGCUGCUCCAAGUUGCAUGGUUAUUUUAUUAACUACCUGCCACGAAUGGUUUGAUGAUUCUGAAUGUUGUUGGUUUCUUAGUUUAUGUUAAACGUUUUUUUCAGAAACAAAUGAUGCCAUGAGCACAUUCCAUUCUUUUAAGUCAAGGUGUUAAAAUAAGCUUGAUUUGACCUGUGUAUUUGAAGGAAGUGAAUGAGUGGGUCUUGAUAAAUUAUGGUCUCCUCUGGCCUAAAAAAAGCUCUCUGAGUUGAGCUGUACUCAUGUUUUGGUGAGUGUGGGUGUGGAGUCUGUUAGAUAGAUACUUCUCCCACCUCUGUGCUGGGGAAAAUCAUGCUAAAAUUUUAGAGUGAUUGUACAUAUUUGGCUUUGGAAUUAAGUAGCCUUGAGUUUGGAAUCCUAGUGUGGCCACUUACUACACUAUGGUGUCUUUGAGCUCCUCAGUCUUGUCAUCUAUAAAAUGGAAAUAAUCAUCCCAACCCUGCAGAUGAGAGAUUGUAGGAGAUCCUCUCCUUGCGGUCCUUAGCUGUGCAUUGCAUAUGGUAGUUGCUUAAUAAAGACACCUGUUACCUUUGAAAAAUGACAGCUUUAGUAGCAGUUGCAACUAAAGGGGGUGAGACUAGAAAAUAUGAAUCUGAAUUUGGUAUUUAAUGCUCAAAUCGAUCAAUCAGUAUUAAAAUCAAUCCGCUACUCUUGGGUGCCUCCUCUGUGCAGUGGGCAGGGGUGGACGCAUAAGAAGGCAGCUGAUACUGUCCCUGUCUGUGUGGGGAACGAGUCAUCUACAUAAAGAAGAACAGGGAACAUGCAAGGAGCUGGACUUGGAAGGUGGCGGAGAAUGGAAACAGAGAGGCCUCCAGGGGUCUCCAGCUGGUGGGAAAACGUAGCAAAGGAAGGGACGUAACGCCUUAAACAUCCAGGGUGAUCCUUGGAAGAGGCCAGAUGAUGUACACACAUCAUGCCUCAUUCUUCCUGUUUUCUUUUCCCUUCGUCUUCCUGAUUUUCUCCCAGGCCUGCUUUGUGUGUCUGAUCCUCAUGAGAAAGAGCCGUCCAUGCCCAUUGCACAUCCCAGAGUUUUGCUGCUGUUGUGCAGACUCCUUUUCUCUCUGAACAGUUUGUUGGUCUUUUGUUGGCCCACAUCCUGAAAUGACCAGAAUUCUCCUGGCAGAUUCUGCCUCUGCCCUCCUAUUUGUUCUGCAUUAUUUUACUUUUUGCUUUUUAAAAUUUUAAUUUUCAUUUUACGGCCACACCGGUAGCAUAUGGAAGGGUUGAAUUAGAGCCACUAAGCUGCGACCUACACCACAGCUUGUGGCAACGACAGAUCCUUAACCGACUGAGUGAGGCCAGGGAUUGGACCUGCAUCCUUAUGGACAUUGUGUGAGGUUCGUAACCUGCUGAGCCACAAGGGGAGCUCCAUCUCUGGCUUAUUUUAGUUUCCUGAACUUAUAUGGCCUUUUCAGUUUUAUCAUGUUAAAUUGUUGAGUUGAGCACCUCCUAGAGACAGCGGGCAGGGAAGCAGACUGGAGAUGCCUGGGGAGUAGAAAGAUGGGUGAGCCAGGGUGGUCCCGGCCCCAGGGGCAGUUCACUUAGUAGAGGAAACAGAUGGGCAGACUGAUGGACUCCAACUAACUGUGAUUAGUGCUUGAUGUUGGUCAGAUGAGAAAAGACGUUUGGUGGGAGCCCCAGGUCCCCAGGUCCUCCAUCAGUCACAAAGGCUGUUCACCUCUCCAGCACUGUGUGGAAAAACACAUUCUGUAUCGGUAGCCGCGGUUCUGGUGUGAAAGAGUUUAAGUGAGGGUUCCUUUUGUCACCUCACCCAAAUCCUCCUCCGGGCAGGGAGUUUAGACUAUGAAGUCUGACUUGUCCCUCUCCUCCCACAGAUGUACACCUGCUCCCUGCUGGGUUCCCCAUUUCAGAAACGGUGCUGUCAUCCCCCCCGGUCCCCUCUCCCCUGUAACUCAUCAGCCGCCAUCACGUCUCUCUCCCCCACUACCACCCCCCAAGUCCAAGCUAUUUGCUCCAGGUGGAGCUCGCGAGCCAGGUGACCAGGGUCUGAGAUUCAUUUAGAGGGUCUUUGCCAGCAAAGAAAGAAAGAAAAGAAAGAGGAGGCAAAGAGAGAAAGAAAGAGGAGACUUGAAAGCGUGAGAGUACAGGGUACAUGGUAUGGUUGAGUUUUAUUUGUGAAAUCCGUGUUUGCAUAAGAGUUUCAGGGGAAAAGAUUAACCUCGCAAAAGGUUUUACAUACGUUGACUGUGCCCCCGCAACGACUGAGGCCCGUGGCAUUGCCGUUAUUACUCCUGACUCACAGGAGAGGAUUGAGGCCCGGGGAAGUGGAGGGGCUGGCCGGGGUCCCAGGGGAUGUCAGGCUGGUAGCCCCUCGGGGACUGUGUGUAAUGCACUAGGUUGCAAAGCAAAGUGUCUUUCUCAGUCUGCAAAUUGUGGUCAACCCAAGCUGGAGGGUUUCUGUUUGACACACGUCCGUACCUUUACUCCUUCCCUUCCCCGCCUCUGAGCUGCAGCCACCAUGCUCCUCGCGGUGCACACUGGAUGCGGCUGCUCCUCUGAGGCGGGGCCCAGGCUUGUAGGUUGCAGUCUGUGUGGCUACAGGGCUGUGCAGCCUGGUCCUGCUGGCCUCCUGAACCUCGCAGAUCUUCUGGGCUCAUGGGCUUUGAGACCCCCUGGAGCCCCUGCCUGUGCUCCCGUGACCUCUCAGGCUCAGGCCCUCCGUGACCUGCCCCCGAGGUACCCAGCACUUACUGCAUCCCUAAAGAAAUAGUGCCUCGUCCACUUGAUGCCUGUCUCGGGGCCAAGGGCACAGCGGCUGGCUUGCAGCCCCAGCCCCGGGGAGAGUGGCUGGCCUGUCAGUGGAUGCUUACUGGGCGUUCAUUGGCCAUGCGUGGUGAAGAAAGGCAGAGUCUCAUGUCAGGCUUGGAUGAAGAGCUGCCGGCCCACGUUUGUUGGGCCCUCAGACCUCUGUGGGGGUGGGCAGCUUAGUGAAAGAGUCCAGGGCCCCACGUCAAAAGGUAGAGGCUCUGGCUUCCCCACUUCUUUGCACUUCGGCCCUGAGACAUAAGACAGGGUUGAGGACAGGGUGCCCCCCACAUCCUGGCUGAUCAUGACAAUCAGGGGAGAUAAAUUGUGUGUGAAAGUUACAUGGCAGCAGGGUUGGCUGCUCAGGAAGUUUGGCGUUUUCUCCCUCUUCCUUGGGUCUCCUUGGGCUUGGCGUGUCCCUUAGUGGUUGGACAGGCCGUCUGUGCCCGGUGGUAACAGGCCCACAAGGUCAAGGGCAGUUCUCUCUGUUGAGUGAGCGUAAGCCUGGGCCAAAGCCACUCUGAUUCCUUCUUUAAGUUCACAUAUUGGUGAUUUUUCAAACCGUAGUAUUUGACCUUGGGAGCUCUCUGGCUUAGAGUGACGUGGUGACACCUGUGUUCCCUGACGUCGUGACUGCAGUGAUAAUGGUCAUGGCUUCUGUCUACUGAGCAGCCGCCCUGCGACAGCUGCGUGCCCGGUUCCCGUGCCUCCCGGCCACGUGUGGAGUCGGUGGCGGCCCCUCACCUUGCGGAGGUGGGAACAGGCCCAGGGAGGCAGAAACCUGCCAGGCUCUUCCAGUUGAGUUCUUUAUAGGACACCAUUCUCAUUUUACCUACAACUAGACUAUUGAUUUGUUUUGUUUUUUAACUUAGAAAAUAAUGACUGUUAAGUUCCUUGUAGAGCAAGUUUUAAUGCUGGUCUUUUGCCUUUUCUGUGCGGUCUGUAUGCUUGAUCGGUGUAAUCCAGCUUUUCUUGGGUGAGACUGUUGCCUGGAGAAUCGGAUGGGGAGUGGGGGGUGGUCUGGUUGUCCAGCCCCGCGUUCCCAUCCCCGUGGUGGACCCUGCGGGGUCUCCUUUCCCUGCAGGUGCUUCCUCCUCCCUUUGCACCCCCCGCUGCCCCGAUCCCUGUGGCGGAGUGGGUGGAGCGCAGGCUGUGGAAAUAGGAACUGAUUUCCUCUCUUCCUCACUUCUUUUUACUUCUAAAGGCUUCUGUUUGUCUUCUCUGGGCUGCAUUCAUUUUCCCUCUUUACUGCUGCAGUUUACUGCACUUUGCUGGUGCCUCUAUUUUUAUUUUUCAGACUUGCCCAAAAUGUAUCUCGAUUUUGGUAUCUCUGGAUCUUUCAAACUCUGUACUUUGUACUGAUGAUUCCCCCUGUCUCGCACAGUGCUGGCCCGUUGCAAGUCUAGCUUCUUUCCCUUCUGUCAUUAAAUUUGAAUACUUUUCUGUUCGUGCUCUUUUAUAGAAAUUUGUAUUUCAUUUUUUAGAUGGUAAUCAUAGACCGUUGGUGUCCUGCAGCUUGACUGCCCAUCAGACUGACUUGUUUCUAAAAUCAUAGCUCAUGGUGCAGAAGGCAACUUUUUGGCAUCCUUGCUUUUUCUUUAGAAGGCAGAUCUGUCCCUGUCACUUUGGUGCUCCACACGCCUUCAUUGGCUCUUGUCACAUCAGUUGCGGACAUCCCACCACAGUGUGGGGGACACUGCUGGCCCUCUCCGGGUGCCUUCACCCCCCACCUCCCCUACCACCACUCCCCUCUACCCCCCACCAGCAUUCCUUAGACUUUUCAUUCCAGGACUCCUUUAACGAUUCUUUGUGAUGAGGUCCACAAAGAACUUUAAAUUGUGUGGAUUAUAUCCAGCAGUGUUUACAAUCUUAGAAACUGAAAUGGAAAAGAUUUAAGAAUACUCAUUACAUUAGUUUAUAUAUAGCAAUAAAUAAACCCAUUGCAUAACACAGACAACACUUAAUGAAAAAGAACUAUUUCCAGAGCAAAAGUACUUUUAAUGAGAAGGGUGACAGUGUUUUUACUUUUUUCCAGAUAUCUUUAAUAUCUACUUUAAUGAAAGACAGCUGGGUUCUGAUACAUGCUUUUGCCUUCAGUCUGUUUCAGUAUGUGGUGGUGGUUCAACUGUAUGAAGAAGAUGCAGCCUUGCAUGGAUAUGUAGUCACAAAAGGGAGGAAUGGUUUCAUUUCCAUUCCGGUUAAUUGUGGAUAGUCUUUGAAAUAUCAGAGCUUGACAAGCGGUGUUUUUUAAAGAUCUGUUGCAGCGUAGACUCCAAGACCAUAUAUGAAUGAACUUUUCAUAUUCUGUUGGUCUGGAGUUCCCUGGUGGCUCAGCAGGUGAAGGAUCUGGCAUUGUCACUGCUGUGAUUUGGAUUGCUGUUGUGGCGCAGCUUCGAUCCUUGACUCUGGAACUUCUGCAUGCUGAGGGUGUGGCAAAAAAAAAA
rnacentral:lncRNA from 1 species